UACGUAGGGGGCAAGCGUUGUCCGGAAUCAUUGGGCGUAAAGCGCGUGUAGGCGGCUUGGUAAGUCCGCUCUGAAAGCCCGGGGCUCAACCCCGGGAGGCGGGUGGAUACUGUCAAGCUGAGUCCGGAAGAGGCGAGUGGAAUUCCGUGGUGUAGCGGUGAAAUGCGCAGAUAUCAAGGAGGAACACCGUGGCGAAGGCGGCAUCCAUGGCCCGAAUGAUCUGCGCUGGAGGACGAAAGCGUGGGGAGCAAACCAGGG
rnacentral:rRNA from 1 species